CGAAAAAUUAUAUGAAUGAUAAGAAUGGUUAAGAGAAUUUCUAUUAUCAAUUAUUACCGGAGUAGUAAAUUGCAUACUUCACGCACAUCAGAAAUAUCAAAUAUUAUUAAUUUUAUUCUUCAGUGAAGUUCGCGUACAUUUCAACAUUUGAAUAUCUGAUGCGUUUGCUGAAAUCCUAUUCGACUAUUCGUACUUUGUAAUUUUAGUUUAAUUAUUCGUCUCAUUUCUUGAAUGAAGCAAUAUUAAUAUUAUUAUGUCGUCCAAAAAUUUUUUAGAUGUCGACGAGUCGAUUAUUGAAAAAAGCCUUUUAAUUCAAAGCAACGAGGAACAAGAAUUCGAACAGUUUGUGAAUGGUUUCCUUAAUCCCAAUUCAGGCAAAUUGGUCAAACCAGCUCCAGGACUCUGUAUAAAAUUAUUGAAAACAGAUAAGUCAAAAGUGUUCAUAAACCUCUGCCACCAUGCAGAUAUUCCACCUCCAGAUGAUAUUACAAAAGAAGAACUUGUAGAAGUUUUCAAUUCUAAGGAUCCUGAAAAAUUCUGCAUUCCGUUAAGUAUUGGUAUAGAACACCAAGAAACUGAUAAGUCUAAUGCACAAGUUAAUGUUUACGAUGUAGCAGUAAAUUCAGAGUUUUUCAAAAAGUGUCAAAAUGAUGAUGUCUUUCAAACAUUCAUUGUUUGUGCUACUAUAGAGGGAGUUGCUGAAAAGUUCAAAAUCGAUAUAAGCGCAGAAAAUCCAAUUUUAUUGAAGAAUAGAAAAUGUAUUGGAUCAUUGCAGCAACACAGAAUUCAACAACGACCCCCUAGACCAUCAACAUUUAAAAAAAAACCUUUGAUUCAAGAAUUAAAUUCAAAAGCAUCACUUUCUCAGUUAGACAUACAUGUCAAACCUGAGUAUAGGAUUUAUGUGCAACCAGAAGAUAUUCCAAAAAAUAUCUUUUUAGAUGUUUGGCUGCCAGAUGUGCAUAGUUCACAAGAAAUUGAUUUAAAAUGUGGUGAAGACUGUCUACUGUUAACUACAAAUAAACAAACAAAAUAUGAGUUGGAUAUUUUUUUACCAUGCGUAAUUAAUCAAAAAAAUGUUAAUGUUACAUUUAAUACUAUAACUAAAUUUUUAUCAGUUAUGGCAACCAUUAUUCCAAGCAAUUGAUUUUCUCAUAUCAAACAUUUGCUGUCUGGGUAAGGAUUGAAAAUUUAAAACAAGGUUGUCCGUAUAUUUAUAACGACGAGAUUUACAACUGAUGAAUGGAGACACCGAGACACGGAGUACGGACCACAAAGGAAUUAGCACCCUUACAGACAUACUGCAAUACUUAUCAUAUAAUUUUAUUAUUAUAUUAUGUGCCUAACUUCCCAAUUACUUUUAUGAACCAUCAUAAAUCAUAAUUAUAAAAAUAUCUUGGAUUACACGUAAAUGAUUUAGUUCAAUAUUACGUGGGAUGGCAUAAUAAUAUUAAACGGGUAAGGAGGACUAUUUAUUACUUAUAAAAUUGAGCUUUUCUAUUUAUAUAGGUGCCUCAUCGGCCUAUGGUAGAUACCUGCCUAUUAUAAUUUUCAACCAAAACAAAUUGUCGUGUAUAAAUAAUUAGAGAAAUGAUUUAUACAUACCUAUAAUUAUAAAUUAGAGAUGUAAAAUAUACGUAAAUUUACCAUACAUUUUGUAAAUGUAGUAAAUUUUGAUAAUUUUGGUAUGUUACCAUAGGGACAUCCCCAGGCACUCCUCUUUACUGCAUUUUCAAUAAAUUAUAACUAUGGUAAAAUUGAUCUUGUUUAUUUACUGGAUAGUAGGGUGUUCAAUUAGGGUGGUCCUUAUUUUUAAAUGUUUAAAUUGUUGUGUCCGAUCCCCUAAUUAGGAUCCAAUAUGUAUUGAAAUUAUAUAUAUAGGAUAUUUGAACAUAAUCAAAUAGGUUUAACCGGUGCGGCAGUGCCCCAAAGCCCUCAAAAGUUUAACAUCACUAAUAUUUCAAGGAAAAAACAAAUUUUAAUUUAAUAAACAAUUAAUGAUAAUUUCUACAUUUUUAAUUAAUUUUAGUUAAUAUUUUUUUUUGCUAUGUAUUAUAAUUAUUCCAUAAGUGCCUUUGUUGGAAUUUAAAUAGUUGGGGCGUUUUACAUUUUAUAAUAUCAACUAUUCCAUUCUAUUAAUAUGCUAUGACUGAUGAAUAUUGGCCUCAUUAAGACGUUUAAAUUUAAGUGCCACAUGCUAAUUCUUUUCGGUAAAAAAAUAUUAAUCUCUGAAAAUAUAGUUGUAAAUUUACCGAGCUUAUCUCUAAUAAUAAUAUCAUGCCAAAUUAAAUAAUAUAUAAUAAUUUCCUAAUAAUAUAUAAUUAUAUACUUUAAAGUGUUAAAAUUUCAUUAAAACAAAAAUAAUAUGUCCAUCGUAGAUUGUGGGUAGGUAGUAGGUACCUACCUAAGUAAUUGAUGCUUUAAUAAAGGUAGGUUAUAUACUUUUCCAACUAAAUAAUUGACAAAAUUAAAAAAAAACCAUAACAUAUUUUGUAAAAUAAUAUAAAUGUAUUUGUUUCUUAACAUAUUUUAUCUUUACUAUGUAUAUUAGUUUAAGUUUAGUUUAUAAUGUACAUUUAUAUAUCAAGCUAUAUACAUAUAAUAUCCAUCACACGUUUAUCAAUAAUACUUAAUUAUAAUAUUUUAUACUAUCUGUACACUUAUAAUUUUUAC